GACAUCGAUGGAAGGAGCAAAGUAUGACGUCAUACGUGGUUGAUGAGGAUUUAAUAAUCCGUAUUUGUUCUAUCAUGUGCAUAUUAUAUUUUAGGAGUUGAGUUCCUCGCAGACGCAAGAGACGAGGUUUGUUGAGACUUUAUUAUGACGUGUGUGAUGAGGACAGAACAGAUCCUACUGAUAUUGACGGACCUCAUUUGUCUGUUUGUUUGCCGUCAGUUAUUUGUUGUCUGUUUGUCUGUUCAUUCGUCUGUCUGUCUGUUUGUUGUCCGUUUGUUCACCUGCAUGUCUGUCUGUCUGUCUGUCUAUCUAUUUGUCUGUCUGUUUUCUGUUUGUCUGUUCAUUCGUUUGUCUGUUUGUCCGUCCAUUUGUCUGUUUAUAUCAAUUUGUCGAUUUCAUUUGUGGUUUAGUGUCGGGUAGGUGUACCUAAUUGUGGACACUUCCUGGUAAUUUGAGUUACAAUCACUGUUUUCUCUGGUAGUCUGCACGAAGAGACAGUGAAACAUGUCCGAAACUAGAAUUGCACAACGUCAGCUAGCGCACUAGCAAAAUAUAUGGGAUAACGUCUGUAAACAGCUUGGACAUGUGCUUGUUGUCUGUUUGUCUGUUUGUCUGGUUAUUCGUCUAUCUGUCUGUUAGUUUGUUGUCCGCUUGUUCACCUGCAUGUCUGUCUCUUUCUGUCUAUCUAUAUGUCUGUCUGUUUUGUGUUUGUCUGUUCAUUCGUUUGUCUGUUUUUCUGUGUGUUUGUCCGUCCGUUUGUCUGUCUGUCUGUCUGUCUAGCAGACUGUUUGUCUGUUUAUAUCAAUUUGUUGAUUUUAUUUGUGGUUAAUUAAUGUAUUGUUUGUAGGUAACUUUAACAGAUGAAAUGUUUCCUCUCUCACAAAUAUACCACAGUGUGUGGAUGUGUCUACUACAGCUGCAUAACAAGGCAGUAGGAAAUGGCUUGUGAGCCACAUGGAUUGACCAGUUUGUCUACAAUGGUCACGCGACUGUCACGUGUUUACUUUACUAGUUGACAUCAACACUACUAAUUUUAGUAAUUUGAUUGCCAAUUUGGAAUUGAAAUGGUUGUGUUUGUUUGUUUACUUGUUUGUUGAUUGUAGUGGUGUGGAUCCAAGUCGGCUGGAGAGAAUUGAGAUUUUCAGUCUUGUACAGUUGACCAAGGUGUCAGUCGUGAUGUGAAUAGUCAAGAUUGCAUUCAAGACUUUACUUGAUUGCAUUCGACUGAAGAUGUUUGGCAAGUUUGGCCUUCAACGGAUGCAAGUCGACUAUCUACAGCUCUGUCUGUCAAGAUUUGUCUCUGAUGAAAAUAUUAUUCAUGGCUUGUUGGAUGAGGUGAUGAACUGUGAAGUGAACAGAUGCAUCGACCCUCAGCUAAUGAAACAAGUGUAAGCCAGUCCUUAUAUGGCUGUGUGUGUGUGUGUGUGUGUGUGUGUGUGUGUGUGUGUGUGUGUGUG